GGGUUUGUGGCUCAGUGGUAGAGCACUUGCCUAGCAUGUGUGAAGCAAUAGGUUCAAUCCCCAGAACCA
rnacentral:tRNA from 1 species